rnacentral:lncRNA from 1 species
UGUAAUCCCAGCUACUCAGGAGGCUGAGGCAGGAGAAUCACGUGAACCUGGGAGGCGGAGAUUGCAGUGAGCCGAGAUCGCACCAUUGCAAUCCAGCCUGGGCAACAAGAGUGAAACUCCCACCUGUCUCGUCCCCAGUGGCUUUUCCAGAACUACUGCCUUCACCAUGAAGCUCCAUGAGCUUUCCCAAUUCAAACUUGGGCUUCUUCAGCAUUUUUACUUUUCUAACGAAGACAUCAUGGAGAGGAUAAAUAGACUGGCAAGCCUUUUCUAUGUCUUUUCCAAUGCUGUCUGGAAUCAAUUUAUUGACCACUUCUUUCAAGUCAUUUGUCUGCACCUCUCGGGUCAUGAUUUCGAUCAUCUUCUUCCGGAUUUGGCGGACCUGUUGGUG